UCUUCAAAGUAAUUAAAACAAAUAUUACAACUUUGAAGUCAUCAGUUUGAGAAUCAUACCCAAAACCAAGGCGAUCAAAACUAGUGGAGUGAGGUGUUACAUGAAGUAUACUUUAAACUCUCUGGUAGAUGGGUUCCAAAGG